GACGAACGCUGGCGGCGUGCUUAACACAUGCAAGUCGAACGGAAAAGGCCUGCUUUUGUGGGGAUCUCGAGUGGCGAGCGGGUGUGAAACACGUGAGUAACCUUCCCUUUAGUGUGGGAUAACUUCAUGAAACUGGUGCUAAUACAGCAUAUGAGCGCCUGCUACAUGGGGGUUAUGGGAAAGUUUUGGUGGUUGGGGAUGGAGGUGCGGCUUAGCAGCUUGUUGGUUAGGUAGUGGCUUACCAAGGCAUUGAAGGGUAGCCGGCAUGAGAGGGUGACCGGGCACAUUGGGACUGAGGUAGGGCCCAGAGGGAUACGGGAGGCAGAGGUGGGGAACAUUGCACAAUGGGCGGCGGUGUGAUGAAGCAAUGUCGGGUGCGGGAUGACGGUUUUCGGGUUGUAAAGCGCUUUAGCGUGUGACGAAGCGUGAGUGACGGUAACGGGUAAAGAAGCACCGGCUAACUACGUG
rnacentral:rRNA from 1 species